rnacentral:tRNA from 1 species
GGAAGGGUGGCAGAGCGGUCUAAUGCACCGGUCUUGAAAACCGGCAGGGCGCAAGCCCUCGCGAGUUCGAAUCUCGCCCCUUCCGCCA